UACGUAGGAGGCAAGCGUUGUCCGGAAUUAUUGGGCGUAAAGAGCUCGUAGGCGGCUUGUUGCGUCGGCUGUGAAAUCCCGAGGCUCAACCUCGGGUCUGCAGUCGAUACGAGCAAACUAGAGUGUUGCAGGGGAGACUGGAAUUCCUGGUGUAGCGGUGAAAUGCGCAGAUAUCAGGAGGAACACCGGUGGCGAAGGCGGGUCUCUGGGCAACAACUGACGCUGAGGAGCGAAAGCGUGGGGAGCGAACAGG
rnacentral:rRNA from 1 species